rnacentral:rRNA from 1 species
AGAAUCAACGCUGGCGGCGUGCCUAACACAUGCAAGUCGAACGAGAAAGUGGAGCAAUCCAUGAGUAAAGUGGCGUACGGGUGAGUAACACGUGACUAACCUACCCUCGAGUGGGGAAUAACCUCGGGAAACCGGGGCUAAUACCGCAUAACAUCUUCGGAUCAAAUGCGUAAGCAGCUUGAGGAGGGGGUCGCGGCCGAUUAGCUAGUUGGCGGGGUAAUGGCCCACCAAGGCAAUGAUCGGUA